UACAGGGGGGGCGAGCGUUGUUCGGAAUUACUGGGCGUAAAGGGCUCGUAGGUGGCCAACAAAGUCAGACGUGAAAUCCCUCGGCUUAACCGGGGAACUGCGUCUGAUACUGGAUGGCUUGAGUUCGGGAGAGGGAUGCGGAAUUCCAGGUGUAGCGGUGAAAUGCGUAGAUAUCUGGAGGAACACCGGUGGCGAAGGCGGCAUCCUGGACCGACACUGACACUGAGGAGCGAAAGCCAGGGGGGCAAACGGG
rnacentral:rRNA from 1 species